rnacentral:rRNA from 1 species
UACGUAGGGUGCGAGCGUUGUCCGGAAUUACUGGGCGUAAAGAGCUCGUAGGUGGUUUGUCGCGUUGUUCGUGAAAACCUGAGGCUUAACCUCGGGCGUGCGGGCGAUACGGGCAGACUUGAGUACUGCAGGGGAGACUGGAAUUCCCGGUGUAGCGGUGGAAUGCGCAGAUAUCAGGAGGAACACCGGUGGCGAAGGCGGGUCUCUGGGCCGAUACUGACGCUGAGGAGCGAAAGCGUGGGGAGCGAACAGG